GAUCCUGGCUCAGAUUGAACGCUGGCGGCAGGCUUAACACAUGCAAGUCGAACGGUAACAUAGAGAAGCUUGCUUCUUUGAUGACGAGUGGCGGACGGGUGAGUAAUGCUUGGGAAUCUGGCUUAUGGAGGGGGAUAACUACCGGAAACUGUAGCUAAUACCGCGUAAUAUCGAAAGAUUAAAGUGUGGGACCUUCGGGCCACAUGCCAUAGGAUGAGCCCAAGUGGGAUUAGGUAGUUGGUG
rnacentral:rRNA from 1 species